UUAAAAAACAAAAAUCUUAAAUCGACCUUCGAACUACCUAAUUGUUUGCGGUCUACGAAAGUCCUAGGCUAGAAAUAAAUAAACUGAUUUCAUUCAACCGCCUUUGAUUGAGUCAGACAAUAAGCCGUAGUAACCGCGAGCUGGCGAGGAGAAAUAAUAAUAUUAUUUGCUUGGAAAUUUAGAUCGCGAAACGUAUAGCCCUCUGACCUCCAACCUAUCGUACGCUACGUCUAUUACGGAGUAGGUUAAUUAUUGAUUAAUAAUAUAAUAAUAUGUUCAUAUUAUUAACUCUGUACCUACUUGUAUAAUACAUAAACAUGAGUUUACAUGUGAAAUCCACG